rnacentral:sRNA from 1 species
AGUCAUUUUGGAAUUCAGCUUCCUUCAACACUGAGACUUCAUACCUUCAUUUCCUUGCUUUCCACGGAGAACUCACUGCUGACGUGUGCUUCUUUUUUAAGACCACAGUUUCCUCCGGGGUGUUUAUGGAGAACCUGGGGAUCACAGACUUCAUCAGGAUUGAGCUGCGGGGUAAGCUGGCCACUCUGGACAAGUCACAGGCUCCCACAGAAGUGACCUUUUCCUUCGAUGUGGGGAAUGGACCUUGUGAGGUCACGGUGCAGUCACCCACUCCCUUUAAUGACAAUCAGUGGCACCACGUGAGGGCAGAGAGAAAUGUUAAAGGAGCGUCUCUUCAAGUUGAUCAGCUUCCUCAGAAGAUGCAGCCUGCCCCUGCUGAUGGGCACGUUCGUUUACAGCUCAACAGCCAGCUCUUCAUCGUGUUUCCAUUGUAGGUGGAACGGCCACCAGACAGAGAGGCUUUCUAGGAUGCAUUCGGUCUCUGCAGUUGAACGGGGUGGCCCUGGAUCUGGAAGAAAGAGCCACAGUGACGCCAGGAGUGGAGCCAGGGUGUGCAGGACACUGCAGCACCUAUGGACACUUGUGUCGCAAUGGAGGGAGAUGCAGAGAGAAACGCAGGGGGGUCACCUGUGACUGUGCCUUCUCAGCCUAUGAUGGGCCGUUCUGCUCCAACGGUAAGUGUGACCAAGGAGCAGGUUAUAGGGAAAGUACAUGAAAGUUAAAUAUGAAGAAUGCUUCUGGCAUUUGAUAUUAUAAAGAGAGGAUAA